rnacentral:tRNA from 1 species
CAAAAAAAGUUUAAUAAAAAGAAUACUAACUUUGGGAGUUAGAGGUUGACGUAUAAGUCAUUUUUGA